rnacentral:rRNA from 1 species
CAGUAGCCGCGGUAAUACGAAGGGGGCUAGCGUUGCUCGGAAUGACUGGGCGUAAAGGGCGCGUAGGCGGCGAUCAAAGUCAGGCGUGAAAUUCCUGGGCCCAACCUGGGGGCUGCGCUUGAUACUUGGUUGCUUGAGUGGGGAAGAGGGUCGUGGAAUUCCCAGUGUAGAGGUGAAAUUCGUAGAUAUUGGAAAGAACACCGGUGGCGAAGGCGGCAACCUGGUCUUUAACUGACGCUGAGGCGCGAAAGCGUGGGGAGCAAACAGGAUUAGAUACCCGUGUAGUCCCUGUCUCUUAUAU